rnacentral:rRNA from 1 species
AUUGAACGCUGGCGGCAUGCUUUACACAUGCAAGUCGAACGGCAGCGCGGGCUUCGGCCUGGCGGCGAGUAGCGAACGGGUGAGUAAUGCAUCGGAACGUGCCCAGUAGUGGGGGAUAGCCCAGCGAAAGCCGGAUUAAUACCGCAUACGACCUGAGGGUGAAAGCGGGGGACCGAAAGGCCUCGCGCUAUUGGAGCGGCCGAUGGCGGAUUAGCUAGUUGGUGGGGUAAAGGCUUACCAAGGCGACGAUCCGUAGCUGGUCUGAGAGGACGACCAGCCACACUGGGACUGAGACACGGCCCAGACUCCUACGGGAGGCAGCAGUGGGGAAUUUUGGACAAUGGGGGCAACCCUGAUCCAGCCAUGCCGCGUGCGGGAAGAAGGCCUUCGGGUUGUAAACCGCUUUUGUUCGGGAAGAAAUCCUCUGGGCUAAUACCCCGGGGGGAUGACGGUACCGGAAGAAUAAGCACCGGCUAACUACGUG